UGGGGAAUAUUGCACAAUGGGGGAAACCCUGAUGCAGCGACGCCGCGUGAACGAAGAAGGUAUUCGUAUCGUAAAGUUCUGUCCUAUGGGAAGAUAAUGACAGUACCAUAGAAGAAAGCUCCGGCUAAAUACGUGCCAGCAGCCGCCGUAAUACGUAUGGAGCGAGCGUUGUCCGGAAUUAUUGGGCGUAAAGGGUACGCAGGCGGUUUAAUAAGUCGAAUGUUAAAGAUCGGGGCUCAACCCCGCAAAGCAUUGGAAACUGAUAAACUUGAGUAGUGGAGAGGAAAGUGGAAUUCCUAGUGUAGUGGUGAAAUACGUAGAUUUUAGGAGGAAUACCAGUAGCGAAGGCGACUUUCUGGACACAAACUGACGCUGAGGUACGAAAGCGUGGGGAGCAAACAGG
rnacentral:rRNA from 1 species